rnacentral:rRNA from 1 species
GACGAACGCUGGCGGCGUGCUUAACACAUGCAAGUCGAGCGGUAAGGCCCUUCGGGGUACACGAGUUGCGAACGGGUGAGUAAUACGUGGGUGAUCUGCCCUGCACUUCGGGAUAAGCCUGGGAAACUGGGUCUAAUACCGGAUAGGACUCCUGGCUUCAUGGUUGGGGGUGGAAAGCUUUUGCGGUGUGGGAUGGGCCCGCGGCCUAUCAGCUUGUUGGUGGGGUAUUGGCCUACCAAGGCGACGACGGGUAGCCGGCCGGAGAGGGUGGCCGGCCACACUGGGACUGAGAUACGGCCCAGACUCCUACGGGAGGCAGCAGUGGGGAAUAUUGCACAAUGGGCGCAAGCCUGAUGCAGCGACGCCGCGUGAGGGAUGACGGCCUUCGGGUUGUAAACCUCUUUCAGUAGGGACGAAGCGCAAGUGACGGUACCUACAGAAGAAGGACCGGCCAACUACGUGCCAGCAGCCGCCGUAA